CACAUCCUGGGGCUGAAGUCGGUCCCAAGGGUAUGGCUGUUCGCCAUUUAAAGUGGUACGCGAGCUGGGUUCUGGUGUUCGGGUUGUGUCGCCAGACGCAUUGCCCGGUAGCUAAGUUCGGAAUCGAUAACCGCUGAAAGCAUCUAAGCGGGAAGCGAGCCCUGAGAUGAGUCUUCCCUGAUACUUUAAGUAUCCUAAAGGGUUGUCGGAGACUACGACGUUGAUAGGUCAGGUGUGUAAGUGCUGUGAGGCAUUGAGCUAACUGAUACUAAUUGCCCGUGAGGCUUAACCAUACAACACCCAAGGGGUUU
rnacentral:rRNA from 1 species